rnacentral:rRNA from 1 species
CACCUUUUGACAUGCCCGGACCGCCACAGAGAUGUGGCUUUCCCUUCGGGGACUGGGACACAGGUGCUGCAUGGCUGUCGUCAGCUCGUGUCGUGAGAUGUUGGGUUAAGUCCCGCAACGAGCGCAACCCUCGCCAUUAGUUGCCAUCAUUCAGUUGGGAACUCUAAUGGGACUGCCGGUGCUAAGCCGGAGGAAGGUGGGGAUGACGUCAAGUCCUCAUGGCCCUUACAGGGUGGGCUACACACGUGCUACAAUGGCGACUACAGAGGGUUAAUCCUUAAAAGUCGUCUCAGUUCGGAUUGUCCUCUGCAACUCGAGGGCAUGAAGUUGGAAUCGCUAGUAAUCGCGGAUCAGCAUGCCGCGGUGAAUACGUUCCC